UGUUGAGAUCUUUGUCAAUUACAACACUUGGGUAACUUCCAAGAAGAGUUGCUGGAACAAACUGAUAGGUUAGGAUGGUCUGAUUUCCCUUCUACUAAUCUUAUACUUCGUAUUAGAUUUUGUCCAUUUAGUGUAUUUGUGUUUGAAUUGAUUCUGAUUUGCAUGUUUUAGCAAGCUUUUUUCUUUACAGAUUGAUUUUAUUAGCCAAAUCUGAAGUUUAGAGUGAAGAUUUUGCUAAACUCUGUGUUAAUGCAUAUUAAGGAAUUAUUUACCUGAGUUUUUGAUCUUGAUAUUCAUAUUCAAGCUAAUGAGGACAAUGUAAUCGUUAACUGCAACUGCCAUAUCAUUUGCUGCUCUGCCUCAUCUCUUCUCUGCAACAUUAUUUUUUAAAGAUGGGUUCUGCCAUUGUUUUUCCUACCGUUUGGCAUGAAAUGUAAAAAACGUAUGCAUAAGGGGAGAUAGGGAGACAUCUUGGGCCAGCACCACCGUCGGACUCUAACCACCAAAAAACUGGCUUCCCUCAACCGGUGGUACACUAUUACAGGGUGAGUUUUUAUUUAUUUAUUUUUCCUUUCUUUGUUUUCUGAUUUUAUUUUAAUUUUUAAAAGAAAAAACCAAAAUCUUGCGAUAACUAUGAUUUAUGUUUGGCAAUUUGGGUAUUUGCUUUGUUUUAAUCUAGGCAUUUCGGUUAUUUAUGGUUUUAAUAAAGGUUUUUCGGUUACAAUUUGGUUUUUUCUUAGCAUUUUGUUUGUUUUGGAUAUUUGAAUGAAUUCUGUUCCGCUUCUUCUUUGCAACACCAUAUAUCUAAGUUUAAGCAUAACAUUGUUAAUUAUCCUCUUAAUACUUUUCCUUCCCCAAAGAUGGUUUCUGUUGUCUAUAAUUUACUACAAUUGCUUUUCCUUAGCACCUGAAUUUUUCAAUAUCUACACUCCUAAUCAUUAAAACCUACUGAUCCACACUUUAUUUAUUUUAAAAAAAAAAAAAAAACUUAAAAUGAGAGCCCAUAACCGUUAAUAAACUUUAAACAUAGAACAAAAUGAGAUAAAUAAAGAGAGAGGGAGAUAGAAAUAAGGUCAGCCCCUCUGUCAAGCCAGCUUCCUGCCAACGUGUACCCUCCCACCACUAACUCGCCAGGACUGCUAACAGAUUUAUGAUGGCUGAACCAAUGCUCAUGAUUGGUGGCAAUAAUGCUCAACUUAAGUUGCUGCAUAACUCAUGUUGGUGCUGCUGCUGGAGGCUUAAGUAGCUGCAUAAUUGCUGGUGUUGUUGUUGCUUAAAGUCAAAUUCUUUUUUUAGACACUAUAUGCUUAAAUAUACUACAUUAUUUAAGUCAAAUUCUUUUUUAGAAAGAGCAUGUAAUUCAGUAACUUAUCAUUAUGUUUAGCUAUUUAAUUCCAUGAAAUUUCAGGUCAAUUGAGCCACAAGUGAAAGGAAAAGAUUUACUCUGACUGUGAUAUUGCUUUAAGUCCUUUCUCUUUC